UCUCCGUUGGUGAACCAGCGGAGGGAUUAUUACAGGACUCGCAAGACUCCUACAACCCUGUGAACUUAACUAUAAGCACGUUGCUUCGGCGGGUGUCUCGGAGGGGGUUCUCCCUCCCCGAGACGCUAAACCCGCCGGCAGCCUACUAUACUCUGUCUCUUUGCGUUGGCAUCUCGAGUACAAUCAAACAAGUUAAAACUUUCAACAACGGAUCUCUUGGUUCUG
rnacentral:misc_RNA from 1 species